UUCCCAUGAGUAAGGAGGAAUUCCUCUCCCCUGACUGUCUUCAAUCUGGAAUAUCAGUUUUAUCCUGUUUUUGAACUGAAACUGAAACAUCAUCUCUUCCUGAGUCUCAAGCCUGCCAGCCUUUAGACAAGGACUAAAACUAUUGGAUCUCCCGGUUCUCAGGCCUUCAGACUUGGACUAGAGUCUGAAGUGCACCAUCAGCUUCCCUGGCUCUCCAGCUCACUGGCUGCAGAUUUGGGACUGAGCAGCCUCCAUAAUUACUGUAAUAUUCACAAGAAUGUAGAAGACGUUUGAAAAUACCAUGUACUUCUGAGGGUGGUGGAAAUAGGCCCUCUUUUAUAUGGAAGCUACUUCGACAAAGGUACUAUCAGAAGAACAUGUUUUUUCUUUAAGUGUGUACUUGAGUCCUGAUGAAGACUUACAAUCCGUCAUCAAGAGGCAGCCGUAGAUUUCUCCUGUAAAGCAGUGUCUGAUAAACACCUUCCACUGCCAACAGGAAGGCAGAGCUAUUCUCUGAAAUGAAUAACUCUACAUUCAAAAGAGGUUUUUGAGAGAAGCUGGGCACUAAAACAGAUUAAGAUGAACCAAAGACACAGAAAACCAUUAUGCUCACAGAAUAAACAGUUUUAGCCAUUUGAUGUUAUAAUAAACGUAUUUGGCUGUGA